GGGGGCGAAAAGGCUUCGACGGAGACGACGAGGUUUUGGUAGCAUGCCGAGCUUUCUGUUGACUCGUAAAAUCAAUGGAAACUAAAGAUAAUCGCAGACGAUUAUAACUACGCUGUAGCUGCUUAGGCAGCUUCCGUCCUGCUGAAAAAUUUCCUGCAGCUUUCAGUUAAAGGGCGUCGAUUAUGCGGGAACGCUUCACAUUGGUGUCUGACUUAUGUGAGGUUAAAUUUAUCAGGCUAUGUUGAUAUGUAUCCGUCCUGAGGGAGACUUUCAACAAAAUUUAAAGUUCAGGAUAAGCAUGUAGAAGUCACUGCUAACUCUUUUCGGACGCGGGUUCGACUCCCGCCGCCUCCACCA
rnacentral:tmRNA from 1 species